GAUGAACGCUGGCGGCGUGCCUAAUACAUGCAAGUCGAGCGAACAGACGAGGAGCUUGCUCCUUCGACGUUAGCGGCGGACGGGUGAGUAACACGUAGGUAACCUACCUAUAAGACUGGGAUAACUUCGGGAAACCGGAGCUAAUACCGGAUAAUAUUUCGAACCGCAUGGUUCGAUAGUGAAAGAUGGCUUUGCUAUCACUUAUAGAUGGACCUGCGCCGUAUUAGCUAGUUGGUAAGGUAACGGCCUACCAAGGCAACGAUACGUAGCCGACCUGAGAGGGUGAUCGGCCACACUGGAACUGAGACACGGUCCAGACUCCUACGGGAGGCAGCAGUAGGGAAUCUUCCGCAAAGGGCGAAAGCCUGACGGAGCAACGCCGCGUGAGUGAUGAAGGUCUUCGGAUCGUAAAACUCUGUUAUUAGGGAAGAACAAACGUGUAAGUAACUGUGCACGUCUUGACGGUACCUAAUCAGAAAGCCACGGCUAACUACGUG
rnacentral:rRNA from 1 species